GGGUGCGAUCAUACCAGCGUUAAUGCACCGGAUCCCAUCAGAACUCCGCAGUUAAGCGCGCUUGGGCUGGAGUAGUACUGGGAUGGGUGACCUCCCGGGAAGUCCUAGUGUUGCACCCUGCCCUUUUGCAGUGGAUGGGAGCGGCACUUGUGUAUGCUAAUUCCUCUUCUCGAUCGUGUGACGCAGCACCGGGGAGAGCUCCACACUGCGCCCACGGUGCCCGCGGAACUUACGCCUUUUUCUUCAACCUUGCCUCGAUUAUUGUUUUAUGUAGAAGCUCUUUUCCUCCAUUUGCCCGCGCGCGAGAAGGAAAGCCGGGCGCCCCUCGAGGGCGGGAUUACGUGGAGAGAGAAGAGGAGCAAAUACCGCGUCGGUCGACUUCGGGCACGCUUUCCUCGCUCUCGUAGCCCUCCGGGCCGUGCCGGGUGGUCGGAAGCCUCCAUUUAAGAGGGGGAGGACAUGGGAUCCUUGC
rnacentral:rRNA from 1 species